rnacentral:rRNA from 1 species
GAUGAACGCUAGCUACAGGCUUAACACAUGCAAGUCGAGGGGAAACGACAUCGAAAGCUUGCUUUUGAUGGGCGUCGACCGGCGCACGGGUGAGUAACGCGUAUCCAACCUGCCCAUCACUUGGGAAUAACCUUGCGAAAGUAAGACUAAUACCCAAUGAUAUCCCACGAAGUCAUCGGAAUGGGAUUAAAGAUUUAUCGGUGAUGGAUGGGGAUGCGUCUGAUUAGCUUGUUGGCGGGGUAACGGCCCACCAAGGCAACGAUCAGUAGGGGUUCUGAGAGGAAGGUCCCCCACAUUGGAACUGAGACACGGUCCAAACUACUACGGGAGGCAGCAGUGAGGAAUAGUGGUCAAGGGGCGAGAGCCUGAACCAGCCAAGUAGCGUGCAGGAGGACGGCCCUAGGGGUGGUAAACUGCUUUUAUAAGGGAAUAAAGUGGGUAUCGUGAGACUUUUUGCAUGUACCUUAUGAAUAAGGACCGGCUAAUUACGUG